rnacentral:tRNA from 1 species
GGAGGGGUGCCGGAGUGGUCGAUCGGGGCGGUCUCGAAAACCGUUGUGCGGGCAACCGUACCGUGGGUUCGAAUCCCACCCCCUCCGCCA